CUCUCGCCCAACAAAUCGCAGUCGAAGCAGCAUACAGAGAGACAAGCUCGUCCUCCUUCGCGGGAGAAUGCGGCCUCUGUCUCUCGAGCUCUACCGCUCACAGUUUGGAAAACACCAACCGCUUUGGGAGAAAGUCCCCGGACAUCAAGGACGCCUCACGCGCGCUUCAUGUGCGUGUGACGGUGGUUCACGCGGAAACGCGCCGCCAUAGAAGCAUAGCGGCUUACGUCCCCCCAUCUGUUUCUGGCCUCUCUCUUCAGCUCGUUGCUCCCGUCUUGUCGUUACAAUCUUCGCUGCCCACCCUUGUUUCGUCCCCCGGUCUUCGCGCUUUUCCUUCUUUUUGCACACUCAGCCUCGCAACACCCGGAGAGACCAACAUGGACGAAGAUACGAGUCCGCGCUCUCUGGUGUUCGAGUCUGUUAAACGUGUAGAAGAGGGGAAACAUGGCGUGUUGUACCAAUUCGCUCACGCGAGGCGACUAGGAGGCGCGUCGAUGGCUUGUCGCGGGCGUGUCUUCUGUUGAGAGAUUGGUUGGAAACGCUCAGGAUGGGUCGCGACGACCGAACUCUUCUUGGAUCUUUCGUCGAGAUUUACAGUUAUGCGAUUGCUGCUGGGUGCCGCAAGGCCCUGGUGGUUACUCGAUGGGGCUUAUUCUUGGUGCGAGG
rnacentral:RNase_MRP_RNA from 1 species